UAUAAAUAAAUAUAGAAUUGAGUUACUACACUUUCAGAAGUAAAAAGUGAUAGAUCUUUCUGAAUAUGUAAAAUAAGAAGGAAAUUAAAUACAUAUCAAAAUCUCUAGGAACAAAAUAAAAUAAGAUAACUCAUAGAGCGUCAUUGAGAAGAAAUUUCUGAUCAAUCUGCGGAAGUGAGAAAUCCGGUACCGAUGUGAACCUCACCAAUUGAACUUGCGUAAUUUAAUUGGUUUCUCCUUCUUUCUCAGGCACUUUGCCGUAUGAUGUGGAACCGAUGUUAAUUCUUCACCAGAAUGUGUAUGAGAAGGUGCCAGGAUCAAUACUCUUUUUUAUAGAGUCCAGAUCGAUUUUCCAUUAAAGUCUGAUUACGUUUCUAUUUAAUUUAAAUAGAUGGGAUAGCGAUAAAAUAUACCAUAUCAAAUAGUUCUAUAUCUAUUAGGAUUAAUCUUUAUCUAUAGUAAAUCCAAAUUUAACAAAACGAAGUUAGUGUUCUCACUUUUGACUCUUAGAUCAACCUCUUUAACCAUUUUGACUCUUAGAUCAACCUCUUUAACCAUUUUUUACCUUUGAAUUAAUAUUAUUACGCUAGGGGGCCACUUAAUCUUAAGGAGGACCGCUAUUAUUUUAACCCUACCAUCCUUGACCCAAGGGCUAAAAUGCCGGAAGCACCAGCUCCCUUAUAUUUUCGAUAGUAUAAUAGUUCUACAAUAUAUAUAUAAAAUUGAAAAAAUGAACUGUACUUAAUUCCUUACCAU
rnacentral:lncRNA from 1 species